UUCAUUUGUUACUCACAAAUCUCUUAUUCGCUCUGAUAACCCAUUGUCCCUGUGGAAUACGAUCCUGGACUUAUCCUUGAUACAACUUGACACUUCUACACUUGGAAGCACAUUCGACCACGAGUCAGCUAGGUACUCCAUUUAUUAACACAAAGUAAGCAAUAGAUUUAAUACACUUCAUCACUAAGCUCACCUUUUCUCACAAAACCUUAGUUUUGUCAAAACAACCUCCAAAAACUCCCACUCUACAUGAUCAUAGACUUCAGACAUAUCUAACUUCAUGGCUAUGCUCCCUGCUUUACCCUUUUUCCUAGUCUUCAUGGAAUGUAAUAACUCAUAGGCAACCAUUAUAUUGUCAUUAAUCAACCUUCCAGGGAAAAAAGCACUUUAGUUUGGGGAUAUAAUAUCAUAUAACACUAGUUUAAACUUGUUUGCAAUGGUUUUAGAAACUAUUUUGUACAUAACAUCACACAAACUUAUGGGUCUAAACUCACUCACUUUUUCUGGGUUUUUUUGUCUUAAGAAUCAAAGCUAGAUAAGUGUAGUUAAGAGAAGGGUCUAGAGGGUUACCAUUCAUUAUAGACACAACUGCUUUACACACCUUGCCUGACACUAUGCUCCAAUGAUUCUGAUUGAAACAUGAGCCAAAGUCAUCUGGUCCAAGAGCUUUUAGUGGGGCCACCUGCUUCACAGCUUCUUCCACCUCUAUUUCAUAAAACUUCUGGAUAACCUUUCAUUCAUUUCAAUUUUCAGCUGUAACCCUUUUAUCCAUUCCCACAAGAGAGGUCUCAAUCUCUUCUCUACUUGGCUUUGUAGUUUGAAACAACUUCCCAAAAUAAUUCCUGAAAGCUUCUUCAAUCUCCUUAUGUCUCACAGCCAUUAUGUUACUCUCAUCUUCCACCUCUUUAAUGUUGUUUCUUCUUCUUCUUUGAAUGGCACAAACAUAGAAAUAUUUAGUGUUCCUAUCUCCAUGCUUGUACAAAUUAUUUUUGAAAAUUGCUAUUUGUAUGAAGACUUUCACGUGGUGUUUCUUAUGCAUUCUUGCACUCUAAUUUUUUUUUAUUAAAUAAAAGAGGUCAAGCGUCCAGACCCACCAAUACCCUUCAAUGGGGGUAAGUUUUUCCUUUUUUCAACUUAGAGUAAUAAGUUUUGUUGCUUAUCAUUUUCACACACUAUACACUAUAUUUAUUAUUAUUUUAUUUUAUUCUUUUUAAAUUAAUUGAGUACUUCUACUCAUUAUUCAUACACCACACAUUUGGUAAGAGAAAAAAAUUAAAAAAUUAUAUAUGGUGAGUGGUAUGAGGAUGAUGAGUAUAAUUUUUUUUGAAUAAUAUUAAAUAUAGUCUUAAAGUAUGCAAAAUUUGUACAUUUUAAAAAUAUAUAUAUAAUCUUCCAUUAAAAAUAUUAAUUUUUACAUGUAAAUCUCACUUUUAUUAACUUACUAUAAUUAUCGCACAUAUGGUUUGUAAUGAGCAAAAAAAGAUAAAUAAUAUUUACAGUUUUAGAAUAUGCAAAAUUCAUGCACUCUUUUUGAAAAAAUGACUACAUCUAUGAUCUACAGACAAAUUAAUUUUUAAAAAUAGAUUGCACUUGUUUUUAAAAUGUGUACACAAAAUUUACACAAUUUAAAAUUGUAUCUACGUUAUUAUGAAAAAAUUAUAUAACUUAAAAAAUUAAAAAAUUAAUUUUAUACGAUACAAAUCAAGAAGAUUUGAAUUGUUAAAACGUAAAGGAAAAUGAUUCACAUACAUCAGAUUACACAACUCAAUGCAAAACAGUCCUGAAUGUUCACGUUACAUCAUCUUUUCUUUUAUUCUGUUUUUCUUUUUUAAAGAAAUGAAGUUCAGUUUAGCUUAUUUUCUCAAAAAAAAAAAAAAGCUAAAUACAAGUGCCAUGUGCAAUCGUGGUGCAAUUGUAGCCUUCGUCACUUUAAUAAAACAACAUCAUUUCAUAAACAAAGCCCCUCCUCCCGUCUUCUUCAAACUCUCUUUCUCCCUCUUCAUCUCAGAUUAGGUGGGAGCAAUAACAUGGAGAUUCUCACUUGUCAAGGAUGCAAAGGCUGAACCCACAAAACCACUAAGCAUCAUCAUCAACAGUGCUACUAAGUUGGAACUCCCUCUCCUUCUCAGCUUUCUCAUCCUUCCCAACUUGCUCAACCCACUCUACACCAACCCCACAAGUCACACGAUUGCAUACCGACUCCUACCCAUGACUGUACAUAGCAUAAUUGUAUUUUCUCUACCCGAACAGAACCCACCACAACGGCUGAACAACCACAAGUUCAAGAGGAAUUCGCACCCCUUUGCCCCCUCUUUCUCAACUUUCUAUCGUCUCUCUCUCACCCCAUAUCUCUCAUUAUCUCCCUAUCAAUUAAAUGAAAUGUUGCUUCAUUUCAUACUGAAAAAAAUUGUGACUUUUUAAUGAAUGCUGUUUCAAGUCGGUAGUCUCCUAUUGUUUCAAAUCAAAUACAAGAUUUUGACAUACUAAACACCCACAUGAACACCUGACACUUUGAAAAUUGCUUAGGUCAUGCCCAACUUGCGAAAAGCAUACCCAUUUAAAUUUUAAAUUUUUGCAACCAGAUUCACAAAAGCGAGGCUAUUAUGGAGACAAGGAGACCAAAAGUAUGUCUGGAGACAUGCACAAAGACAAGUACCGAAACAUGGAUGUGGUGACGAGCAGUUAUUUUUCAACGAUGGGACAAAUAACUACCGUGGGGCAACGUCAAUUUUGGGAUUGUGUAAAGGUUUUAGUUUCAGCUUAGGAGAAAAUGAACGAGAGUUUAGGUGUGGCAGUAGCCUUUGUUGUCGGCAUCCAACGGUGGCAACGAUGGCUGGCGAUGGUUGUGCGUGCUUAGGGGUCUUGGGGCCUUGAGGCCUGAGGGAGAACCCCGGGAGAUCAGAGAGCAUCCAAUUUUGAAAUUUCAAAAUUUUAUAUCUGAGCUCCCAACUUCCCUCUUACGCAAUUAUUUUUUUCUAAAAAAAAAAAAUAAGGUAUUCACUUGCCAUGUAGGACUGUUGUGCAAAGUGAAGUGUAAAGUGUACUGCGGGUAUCACCACUCAAACGUAAAUGGGUAGCAAAUCGUAGAAUACCACGUCAGUGCGUAAAAAUCAAUGCAUAAAAGGUUUUGUACAUGUAGCAACGCUCAUUAUUUUUUGCCCUUUGUUUCCACCAGA